rfam:Ruminococcus sp. CAG:624 genomic scaffold, scf272
GUGCGGGCCCUGUGCAACAGGACUUCGUGAACCAUGUCAGGCGGGAAACCGAGCAGCAUUAAGCGAUAUGUCGUGUGUGCCGCAGCAAGCCUGCACAUC